rnacentral:rRNA from 1 species
AUGACGGCCCUAAGUUGGAACUGUCGGGGCCUUGGGCAACCCCGAACAGUUCAGGAACUCGUGUGUCUGGUACACACAUACAAGCCUAAGCUUGUGUUCCUAUCUGAAACACGGCAAAGCAACGAGUAUAUCAAUAGGUUGAGGUGGAGGCUAGGCCUCAAGCAUUGUAUUACGCAACCCGGUACAGGCAAAAGUGCCGGUAUAGCGCUUUUUUACGAUGAAAAUGUCGAAUGGCGUGGCACCUUCAUAUAUGGGGAACCAAAGGCUCACGAACGCUGUCACAUGUGGAACUUGCUGAGAAGAAUCAGAUGCAACAGUGAAGCGCCA